rnacentral:rRNA from 1 species
UAACCUGCCUGGUAGCGGGGGAUAACUAUUGGAAACGAUAGCUAAUACCGCAUAACAGUAGAUAUCGCAUGAUAUUUGCUUGAAAGGUGCAAUUGCACCACUACCAGAUGGACCUGCGUUGUAUUAGCUAGUUGGUGAGGUAACGGCUCGCCAAGGCAACGAUACAUAGCCGACCUGAGAGGGUGAUCGGCCACACUGGGACUGAGACACGGCCCAG